rnacentral:lncRNA from 1 species
ACUAUCGUUGCACCAGUGCAUCAUGUAAUGUGAAGAAACGAGUGGAGAGGUGUUUCAAGGAUCCGGCCAUUGUCGUAACCACCUACGAAGGUCAACACACCCACCCAAGCCCAAUCAUGCCUCGAGCAAACCCAUCCUCCAUUGCCACCACCUUUGCUGGCCCGAGGCUUCAAACGACGCCGUUUCAACACCUACACCUCCACCACCACCAGCAACAGCAACAUCCCUCUUUCAACGAUGUUCCACUCUUGAAUUAUGGCCAUGGCAGCAGCUUUGGGAGCGCCGCAAGGUCUGUUCAAGAGAGGCGUUCUUGCGCACCAACUUCUGCUUUGCAUAGAGACCAUGGCCUUCUUCAAG